UCCAACUACUCUCUCUCGGGUCUCUCUUCUGGAGACAAAAAAAAAAAAGAGGAAAAAAGGGAACUCUCCACUUUUCCUCCCAGGACAUCUCUCGGCUCUCUCCCAGAGGGGGGAGACAGAAAAAGCCACAACAAGAAAAGAAAAUUCCCUGGACACAAGGAGGCAGCCGCCGGUUGGACAAAGAGCCUGGAGCUUCCUCAAAAUUUUAGUCAAAGGACCACAACCUCAUUGAGCCAAACUUGCAGAAAAUACAGCAAAAAAAGCAAAACAGAGAGACGCAGAAGAGAUGAACGGAGGACAAGAGAAGCCGAAAGAAGAUAGAGAAGGCUCUCCAACUGAGUCUCAGCAAACAGUUUCUGAUGAUGAUGAGAUAGAUUACUCAAUAAAGCCAGAAUUUUAUGACCCCAAUCUUGAUGACAAAGAUGAGUUAUGGGUUCAAAAGAAAAGAAAAGGCCACAAUUCUGAUGCUGUCCUCAGCUGCCCUGCUUGCUUCACCACCCUUUGUUUAGAUUGUCAAAGGAGUACCAGUUGAUAUACCUCCUCAAUCUACCUUGUGCACUUUCCAUGUGGAGAAGUAGGGCUAAGUAGUGUGCAGAAGGUCCAAAGUUCUCUUUAUGGAAGAUGUGAUUCCUUGAAGAAGCAGAAGGUCUACAUAAUGGAGACAAAGUUGGGUGCAGGCAAAUAUAAGGUCCCAUUUAAGCAAUUUGUGAUUCUGGAAAUCAGGAGGUUCAUUGCAAUCAGUGUUUUUAUAGGUUAAGGAUUAUUUGAAAGUUGGUUGCUGAUUGCUAGGAUGUAAAAUUUCCUCUUUUUAUAACAAAUGGUCAUGCCAGCACAUCCUAAUCAAAUGCUGGAAUUGAAUAGGCAGGUAUCUAUUGGUGAAAAAAACCUUGGAUUGAUUACCUUGGAUGUACUUUGUUGGUUAUGAAUCUAGUGUCUGGAAACUUGAAUAGAUGAACCAGGUUAACAAAUACUUGACUUUAAUACUCCAUGUUUCUUGCAUCAGGUCAAACAGUGACAAGAAUAAUAGAUGUCCUGCAACUCCUUGGGCCAUUGAAUGGAAUUACCAAAGUUUUCUGCUUGUGCUGCUUUCAAGGGCAUGAAAAAUAUUUAACACAGUACCGAGCAGUUUUUGUGAUCAAUUGUAAGAUUAAGAGCUAUCAAGUUUCACAACCUGGAAGUAAA